AGAGUUUGAUCCUGGCUCAGAACGAACGCUGGCGGCGUGGAUAAGACAUGCAAGUCGAACGGAAGUACUCGGUAGCAAUACUGGUUGCUUUAGUGGCGAACGGGUGAGUAACACGUGAGUUACAUGCCCUGCAGAGGGGAAUAGCCCGCCGAAAGGCGGAUUAAUACCCCAUGGUCCCGCAAGGGUAAAGGUGGCUUCGGCUGCCGCUGCAGGAUGGGCUCGCGGCCUAUCAGCUUGUUGGUGAGGUAAAAGCUCACCAAGGCAGUGACGGGUAGCUGGUCUGAGAGGAUGAUCAGUCACACUGGAACUGAGACACGGUCCAGACACCUACGGGUGGCAGCAGUCGAGAAUCAUUCGCAAUGGGGGAAACCCUGACGGUGCGACGCCGCGUGGAGGAUGACGGUCUUCGGAUUGUAAACUCCUGUCAUCGAAGAGUAAGGUUUGCGGGUAAAUAGCUCGUAAAAUUGAUAGUAUUCGAAGAGGAAGGGACGGCUAACUUCGUGCCAGCAGCCGCGGUAAUACGAAGGUCCCAAGCGUUGUUCGGAAUCACUGGGCGUAAAGGGAGCGUAGGCGGCGAUGUAAGUCAGAUGUGAAAGCCCGGGGCUCAACCUCGGAAUUGCAGCCGAUACUGCCUUACUAGAGGACUGGAGAGGAGAUUGGAAUUCACGGUGUAGCAGUGAAAUGCGUGGAUAUCGUGAGGAAGACCAAAGGCGAAGGCAGAUCUCUGGACAGUUCCUGACGCUGAGGCACGAAGGCCAGGGUAGCGAAAAGGAUUAGAUACCCUUGUAGUCCUGGCAGUAAACGGUGCGCGCUUGGUGUGGGAGGAUUCGACCCCUUCUGUGCCGGAGCUAACGCGUUAAGCGCGCCGCCUGGGGAGUACGGCCGCAAGGCUAAAACUCAAAGAAAUUGACGGGGACCCGCACAAGCGGUGGAGUAUGUGGCUUAAUUCGAUGCAACGCGAAGAACCUUACCUGGGCUUGACAUGCAUCUCUAAACCGGUGAAAGGGAGCGGAGCAAUCCGUAAUUUGCACAGGUGCUGCAUGGCUGUCGUCAGCUCGUGUCGUGAGAUGUUGGGUUAAGUCCCGCAACGAGCGCAACCCCUGUGAUUAGUUACCAGCGAGUAGUGUCGGGGACUCUAAUCAGACUGCCCAGAUCAACUGGGAGGAAGGUGGGGACGACGUCAAGUCAGUAUGGCCCUUACGUCUGGGGCUGCACACGUACUACAAUGCCCAGUACAAUGAGAACCGAGACCGCGAGGUGGAGGAAAUCUGUAAAACUGGGCCCAGUUCGGAUUGGAGGCUGCAACUCGCCUCCAUGAAGCCGGAAUCGCUAGUAAUGGUACAUCAGCAACGGUACCGUGAAUACGUUCCCGGGUCUUGUACACACCGCCCGUCACAUCAUGGAAGCCGGUCGCACCCGAAGUACAUGUGCUAACUUUCGAGAAGCAGUGUCCUAAGGUGUAGCUGGUAACUGGGAUGAAGUCGUAACAAGGUAACC
rnacentral:rRNA from 1 species